rnacentral:rRNA from 1 species
GAACGUACGCUGGCGGCACGCCUAACACAUGCAAGUCGAACGAAGUAGCAAUACUUAGUGGCAGACGGGUGAGUAACAUGUAGGUAUCUGCCCUUUGGCCUGGAAUAACACGAGGAAACUUGUGCUAAUACCGGAUAAGUCUUUACGGAGAAAGCUUUAUGCACCAUUGGAUGAGCCUGCACUUGAUUAGUUUGUUGGUGGGGUAAUGGCCUACCAAGACUGUGAUCAAUAGCUGAUUUGAGAGGAUGAUCAGCCACAUUGGGACUGAGACACGGCCCAAACUCCUACGGGAGGCAGCAGUGGGGAAUCUUGCACAAUGGAGGAAACUCUGAUGCAGCGAUGCCGCGUGAGUGAAGAAGGCCCUUGGGUUGUAAAGCUCUUUCGUCGGGGAAGAAAAUGACUGUACCCGAAUAAGAAGGUCCGGCUAACUUCGUGCCAGCAGCCGCGGUAAUACGAAGGGACCUAGCGUAGUUCGGAAUUACUGGGCUUAAAGAGUUCGUAGGUGGUUGAAAAAGUUAGUGGUGAAAUCCCAGAGCUUAACUCUGGAACUGCCAUUAAAACUUUUUAGCUAGAGUAUGAUAGAGGAAAGCAGAAUUUCUAGUGUAGAGGUGAAAUUCGUAGAUAUUAGAAAGAAUACCAAUUGCGAAGGCAGCUUUCUGGAUCAUUACUGACACUGAGGAACGAAAGCAUGGGUAGCGAAGAGGAUUAGAUACCCUCGUAGUCCAUGCCGUAAACGAUGUGUGUUAGACGUUGGAAAUUUAUUUUCAGUGUCGCAGGGAAACCGAUAAACACACCGCCUGGGGAGUACGACCGCAAGGUUAAAACUCAAAUGAAUUGACGGGGACCCGCACAAGUAGUGGAGCAUGUGGUUUAAUUCGAAGAUACGCGCAGAACCUUACCAACACUUGACAUGUUCGUCGCGACUCUAAGAGAUUAGAGUUUUCGGUUCGGCCGGACGAAACACAGGUGCUGCAUGGCUGUCGUCAGCUCGUGUCGUGAGAUGUUGGGUUAAGUCCCGCAACGAGCGCAACCCUCACUUUUAGUUGCCAUCAUUAAGUUGGGCACUCUGAAAGAACUGCCAGUGAUAAGCUGGAGGAAGGUGGGGAUGACGUCAAGUCCUCAUGGCCCUUACGUGUUGGGCUACACACGUGCUACAAUGGUAUCUACAACAGGAAGCAAGACUGCGAAGUUAAGCAAAUCCCUAAAAGAUACCUCAGUUCGGAUUGCACUCUGCAACUCGAGUGCAUGAAGCUGGAAUUACUAGUAAUCGUGGAUCAGCGUGCCACGGUGAAUGCGUUCCCGGGUCUUGUACACACCGC